GCCUUCGGAGCCUUGGCGGGUAACGGCCUUUUCUCUCAAUCGAUAAGAACUGACAAAUUACCUCUCUCUUCUCCCUCUGCUCUUCCUUGGUAUCGCGCUUGUUUUUGUCGGGAAUAUCUUCUCAAUUACUUGCUAUUUCCUGGACAGGAGGGGGAGAAUCAUGAACUGUGAAGUUUGCCAUCUUAAAGAACUGGAGGUGGAGGCCAUUGAGAUCCCAGAAGUUUUAAGAUGUAUACUUCACACAAUUGUGUUUCAUCGAGCCCUAGGGCUUGUUCGGCCAAAAGAUGUUGAUUCUGAACUCUUUGAUAUUACUUAUGUACAAUGUGGGGAUGCUGAGCUGGAGAAAAAGAUAGAGGAAAAAAUUGAUCAGUUCAUUGCCUGGGUGGAGAAGCAUCCAAACAAAAAAAGUCAGAUAUGUUUAUCCUUCUUCGAGAUUAAAAACAAACAAGCAACAUGGUUUAGUAAUAAAAUUGAGCGCUCGUACUGGGAGCAUUGGUAUAUUUAUAUGAAUGUAGUGCCAUCAAAAUCACAUGCUGGAAAAUCUCACCAUGCCAAAGCUCGUAAAGACUCACUGGAGGUUGCUGAAGAACGGACUGCACGUCGUGCUUCCUUAGAAACUACCCUUCGUGAAGUACUUUUUCAAAUUGUAAGGUUUGUAGAUGAAAAGAAAGAUCACAUUCCUUCUGUUCCCAGUUUGGAGGGGGUCUCAUUUCCUUAUGAAAUUACAUUCCCAAGUGCUUCUGACUCUUCGUUUGGCAUGGAUAUGAUCAAGAGGAUGCUUCAGACGGGACACCCGACCAUGCUCAGCUGAUUGUUUAUGCUAGAAACUUGAAGCUUCUGGUUGCUUUCGAAAGUCCAGGACUCCUGAUGGGUAGAACCUAAUGGAUUCCAGAAAGCGCCAAACUUGCACAUUUUCUUCUGGGUUCAAGUUCCCUUGUACAUGAUUACUUGCUAGAGGAGCACAGGGAAAUGUGUGUCACCGCCUCCACUGAGGUUGAAGGGCCAUCCGCACACUGAUGCUUUGUGAGUCUCUACAACUUGGUUAUGAGCCGUAAACACCGGUUCUGCCCCGCUGCGUUCCUUCGACUGUAUACUUAAAUAGCUUAAUAGCGUUGCUGAACUUCCUUGUCUGCUGGUUGGGAGUACCCUGUGCGGUUUUGCAGUAGGCAUAACGAGCCGCCGGAAUUUUAAAAUUUGAAUUUGCUUUAACGCAAGCAAAGAGAUCGUGGAAAAGGCGAAACGGUUCCUGGGGAACCAUUAUUGAUUUUUUUAUUGUUCGGAAACUAUAUAUUUUUGUUAUUUUCUG